UUUUGUUUAGCCGGAAAGGUUUCCGUGGGGUUUCAUUUGCUCAGAGAAAUAAAGAACGACUCGCGGGGGUGACUAAGACAAAUUCCUCAUUUUCAUUAUAGACUUGGAGGUGGAGUGUCUUCUCAGCGUUAGGGACCCCGAGGUUGGGUGGUAAGAGGUUCAGAGUCAGUCCUGCCCCACUUUGUGCCCACUGGUAUUAGGGACGGUAGGGCUGCAAAGGUGAGCAUCUCACUCGUCUAAGAGGUUCCUCCUUUCUUCUCUUCUCCCCCUCUUCCUCUCUGCCUACAUCCCUCACCCAGUUGACUUGUCCUUAUGUGAAUGGGAGCCAGAAAACCUUGAGAACCUCGAACCAAACAGUGGUUUCUUCCUCGACGUGGACAUGGCACAAGAGAAAAUGGAACUAGACUUGGAGCUGCUGCCGAGUUCAACCACCACAGAUGACAUGCUGAAAAGAUCCAACAGCGCCCCUUUGAUCAAUGGGCUUGGUGAUAACUCACAGGUGUUCCAAGCUGACACGUUAACAACUCCAAGAAAUAACGCAAUGCUUAUGGCACAACAUUGUCUGGUAAGAAAAUGCUUGUAGCAGCCUCACUGGCCAAGACUUGUGCUAUUGGUCUUAACUAGUGGUCCU
rnacentral:lncRNA from 1 species